CUCAAGUGGGCCUCAAACGUCUGGAUCCAAGCAAUCCUCCGCCUCUGCCUUGUGAGGAUCUAGCACUGUAGGAAUGUGCCACUUCGCCUGAUGUUAGGGACUAGAUGGGAAUGAAGCUGCGGUCUCAGAUGAAGUCUUCUGAUGGGCCAGUUGUUUCUUCUGUACCUAGCCGUCGGUGAAUUCUACCCAUGUGGACCAUCACUGAGGAGCCCUUCCCAUAGUUAACAACAGACCUCAAAGCUCCAGACCUGUGACACAGUUGUGGGGAGGCCAGAGAAGGCAUCGAAUCCUGUUCUACCAACUCUCCACCAUAUUCCUUUGAGACAAGUUCUCUCCCUGAACUUGGAGCUCUUCUGGUGGCCUGUGAGUGCCGGUGAUCUUCCUGUCUUUGCACCCCACAAUGACAAAGUUAAGAAAAGCUUGAGACCCGACUUUUCACAUGGAUCCAAACCCAGGCCCUCAGGCCUCUGCAAAAAGCCCUCUUACCCACUGAGGAGUUUCUUCAGGCGUCUCUUUAAUAGCUUAU